rnacentral:rRNA from 1 species
UACGGGGGGAGCAAGCGUUGUUCGGAUUCAUUGGGCGUAAAGGGUGCGUAGGCGGCGCGGUAAGUCGGGUGUGGAAUCUCGGAGCUUAACUCCGAAACUGCAUUCGAUACUGCCGUGCUUGAGGACUGGAGAGGAGACUGGAAUUUACGGUGUAGCGGUGAAAUGCGUAGAUAUCGUAAGGAAGACCAGUGGCGAAGGCGGGUCUCUGGACAGUUCCUGACGCUGAGGCACGAAGGUCAGGGGAGCAAACGGG